GUUGGUUCCACAACUUAGCUUUAUGAAUUGAGCUGCUAUAAACAUUGAUGUGGCCAUGUCACUAUAGUAUGCUGAUUUUAAGUCCUUUGGGUAUAUGCUGAGGAAUGGGAUAACUGGGUCAAAUGGUAGUUCCAUUCCAAGUUUUUUGAGGAACCUCCAUACUGCUUUCCAGAAUGGUUGCAUCAAUUUGUAAUCCCAUCAGCAUUGUAUGAAUGAACCUUUCUUCCCACAUUCUUGCUAACAUUUAGUAUUAUUUGUAUUCUUUUUUAUAAUUUUUUUUAUUGGACAUGGACACAAUACCUUUAUUUUAUUUAUUUUUAUGUGGUGCUAAGGAUCAAACCCAGUGCCUCACAUGUGCAAGGCAAGCACUCUACCACUGAACUACAAUCCCAGCCAAGAAUUACUUGUAUUCUUGAUAAUUGCCGUUCUGACUAGAGUGAGAUGAAAUCUCAGUGCAGUUUUUAAAACUCAACAGACUAUAUUCGCAUUUCAUCAGUUUUUUAUGAAUGUCCUUUUUGGUGAUUCAGUGUAACAUAAUAUAUUGCAUCUAAUUAUUAUGUCUCUUAAUUCUUUGUUGUGUAAAUUUGUGUCACUGUGACCAAAAUACCUGACAAGAUCAACUUAGAGAAGAGAAGGUUUAUUUUGGCUUGUGGUUUCAGAGAUGAAGUCUGUGGUUGCAGACUCCAUUGCUUUGGACCCAAGUGA
rnacentral:lncRNA from 1 species